GGGGCGUAGCGUAUCCGGAUUUAUUGGGCGUAAAGCGUGUGUAGGCGGUUUAUUAAGUUUAAGAUUAAAGCCCGGGGCUCAACUCCGGUAAGUCUUAAAAACUGGUAGACUUGAGUACGGUAGAGGCAAACGGAAUUUCUAGUGUAGCGGUGAAAUGCGUAGAUAUUAGAAGGAACACCAGUGGCGAAAGCGGUUUGCUGGGCCGUUACUGACGCUGAGGCACGAAAGCGUGGGGAGCAAAUAGGAUUAGAUACCCUAGUAGUCCACGCCGUAAACGAUGAGUACUAAGUGUUGGGGUUACCCAGUGCUGAAGCUAACGUAUUAAGUACUCCGCCUGAGUAGUACGUUCGCAAGGGCUGAAACUCAAAGGAAUUGACGGGCACCCGCACAAGCGGUGGAGCAUGCUGUUUAAUUCGACGAUACGCGAAGAACCUUACCUAGACUUGACAUCCCUGGCAAAGCUAUAGAAAUAUAGUGGAGGUCAUCCAGGUGACAGGUGGUGCAUGGUUGUCGUCAGCUCGUGUCGUGAGAUGUUCGGUUAAGUCCGCUAACGAGCGCAACCCUUAUCCUUAGUUGCUAACAUUAAGUUGAGAACCCUAAGGAGACUGCCGGUGACAAACCGGAGGAAGGUGGGGAUGACGUCAAAUCAUCAUGCCCCUUACGUCUAGGGCUACAGGCGUGCUAUAAUGGCCGAUACAAUAAGAAGCAAUACUGUGAAGUGGAGCAAAUCUGUAAAGUCGGUCUCAGUUCGGAUUGAAGUCUGCAACUCGACUUCAUGAAGCUAGAAUCGCUAGUAAUCCCAAAUCAGAAUGUUGGGGGGAAUAAAAUUUUCCGGGUUUUGUACACACCGCCCGUCAUGCCAUGAAAGUUUGUAAUACCCGAAUGUGGUAGCCUAACCUUUUAGGAGGGGGCCAUUUAAGGUAGGA
rnacentral:rRNA from 1 species